UUUCUGGUCAUUUGACCUCUGCCUUCAACCUGAUUGGCCCAAGCGUUAGCACCUGACCUCAGAGCAGCCAAUCAAACCAGCAUUCUGAACAAUCGUUCCAAUCUUAUUUCCUUCAUUUCCCUAUUUGGUCUGGGCCUCUUGUGUCCUUCCCAGCCCUCCUUAAAUACCUCUUCUGUCAUGCCAACUCUCAUCAGCUGUACAACUAGGUAGAAGUCACUGGGAAACCCCCAAAGGCGUCCUUUCCUGGAGCUUUCCUAGGUCUACUGACCAUUUUGAGAGGCACAGGAUGUAGCCACGCCCCCGCCUCAGCUGAUUGGUCCAGUGAAGAACACCUGACUUGAGGGCAGCCAAUCCAUAGUCUGGCCACAUUGUGAGGGAACCUGGUUUGAGUUUUUCCGAGGGAAGGCCGCGGUGUGCUGGAAGGUAGUGGAUGUGGCCUUCUGGGAUGCAGGGGACGCAGAGAAGAGGAAGAAUCCGGUCCUGUCAGAGCUGCAAAGUGUUACAGAGCUCAUCUCAUCCACCAGUCCUCGUGCUCUGGGAUUUCAUUGGGCAGUGAAGCAACCAUACAGGUAAAUGUGGUCCUUAUCGCUGAGACUGCAGCAGAGGACACCAAGGCACAGAACGCGAUUUCUCUGGGGUCGCUCAUAUGGUGAGUGAGCAGCAGCAUUGAGGCUCUAGAGGCUGCCCCAGGGAAUAACCGUGUUACCCCACCCUCACUGUGCUCGGGAGUUGCAGGCUGGUGGGGAGACAAAUGUAUAAAGGACGAUCACGGCACGUGACAAAUCAUAAUAGCAUCGCAGGCC
rnacentral:lncRNA from 1 species